rnacentral:lncRNA from 10 species
CUCACCUUCCCUCCACCACAGGUUGAGGGAACCCUAAACCUCUUUUGCACAAUAUCAAGGAGUGCUGACUAAUCCAACGCAGAAGCUGUGAUGUUUGGCAGAUGCAGAGGCAGAAAAGGUGUUUUGGGAAAGAUCAUCUUUAAACAACACGGCACCCUCAUAGCCCAUAGAGACAGUUCUCACCACUACGCCAAUAAACUUGGAAAAGACCAAACCAAACUUUACACAUAUUUCCUUUUUCUUUUUGAUUCUAUGCCCCCUCCCUCAGCCUCCCAAGCAGCAGGAAUACCCUGAAGGGCCCUGGGAACCCUUGCCCACUGAGUCCCACCUGGAAAGCAGUUCCCUAGCUGGAGAGUCCUCCUCAUCAGUUAUGCUCUCCAGCACCCACACUGGAGAAACACAAACAACAGGAGAAGUCAUUUGAGAGAGGCUACCCACUCCUAGUCCCGCUGAAGCCCCACUGCCUCACACAGGAUUCCCUGGUCUUUCCUCUGGGUUCACAGAUAUUCCUGCAGCCUCUCUGGCCAUAGCUUUCUACUGGAAAGUCAUUUGCUCUCACCAGGCCCGUAAUGCUCCUUCCCAAAGGAACCCAGAAUCAGGUUUCCGUACACUAGAUCCAGCAAGUUUGUUCCUCAGGAAGUGAGCCAUUUCAAGGUAAAUACUCCCCUCUGAGGUUGAUGGCAUCUGCAAUUAUAGAACACAUUAGGAGGAUUAGAUGAUGCCACGCAUGUCACACAUAUCUGUUAUUCUCUUGGCAACUUUAGAAAAUUGUAAGUAUAGUGGUAGAGUCAAAGGUCAAAGUCCCCCAAAACUAGCACAAAGUACACCUACAGAAAAGACAAGAACUUUUCCAAUAGAAUUUACCUUUAAGGUUUAUUUAGAUGGGCAGUUUCACAACUCUUUUUUAUUUUUAUUUUUAUUUUUUGAAGGAGUCUCGCUGUCCA